rnacentral:rRNA from 1 species
CCUACAGGGUGCUGCAGUGGGGAAUAUUGGACAAUGGGCGAAAGCCUGAUCCAGCCAUGCCGCGUGUGUGAAGAAGGCCUUCGGGUUGUAAAGCACUUUCAGUGGGGAAGAAAGCCUUGGGGCUAAUACCCUCGAGGAAGGACAUCACCCACAGAAGAAGCACCGGCUAACUCCGUGCCAGCAGCCGCGGUAAUACGGAGGGUGCGAGCGUUAAUCGGAAUUACUGGGCGUAAAGCGCGCGUAGGCGGUCUGAUAAGCCGGUUGUGAAAGCCCCGGGCUCAACCUGGGAACGGCAUCCGGAACUGUCAGGCUAGAGUGCAGGAGAGGAAGGUAGAAUUCCCGGUGUAGCGGUGAAAUGCGUAGAGAUCGGGAGGAAUACCAGUGGCGAAGGCGGCCUUCUGGACUGACACUGACGCUGAGGUGCGAAAGCGUGGGUAGCAAACAGGAUUAGAUACCCUGGUAGUC